CAGAAGGGAGCUUGCUCCCGGAUGUUAGCGGCGGACGGGUGAGUWACACGUGGGUAACCUGCCUGUAAGACUGGGAUAACUCCSGGAAACCGGAGCUAAUACCGGAUAGUUCCUUGAACCGCAUGGUUCAAGGAUGAAAGACGGUUUCGGCUGUCACUUACAGAUGGACCCGCGGCGCAUUAGCUAGUUGGUGGGGUAAUGGCUCACCAAGGCGACGAUGCGUAGCCGACCUGAGAGGGUGAUCGGCCACACUGGGACUGAGACACGGCCCAGACUCCUACGGGAGGCAGCAGUAGGGAAUCUUCCGCAAUGGACGAAAGUCUGACGGAGCAACGCCGCGUGAGUGAUGAAGGUUUUCGGAUCGUAAAGCUCUGUUGUUAGGGAAGAACAAGUGCGAGAGUAACUGCUCGCACCUUGACGGUACCUAACCAGAAAGCCACGGCUAACUACGUGCCAGCAGCCGCGGUAAUACGUAGGUGGCAAGCGUUGUCCGGAAUUAUUGGGCGUAAAGGGCUCGCAGGCGGUUUCUUAAGUCUGAUGUGAAAGCCCCCGGCUCAACCGGGGAGGGUCAUUGGAAACUGGGAAACUUGAGUGCAGAAGAGGAGAGUGGAAUUCCACGUGUAGCGGUGAAAUGCGUAGAGAUGUGGAGGAACACCAGUGGCGAAGGCGACUCUCUGGUCUGUAACUGACGCUGAGGAGCGAAAGCGUGGGGAGCGAACAGGAUUAGAUACCCUGGUAGUCCACGCCGUAAACGAUGAGUGCUAAGUGUUAGGGGGUUUCCGCCCCUUA
rnacentral:rRNA from 1 species